UACCGGGAACCGAACUCAUGACCUUGCGCAUGCCAGGCAGGCGCUUUUGCCGCUGAGCUAAAGCCCCAGCCCCUAGGAAUUUUGUAAACAAUUAAAAACUCCAAGGUAGAACAUGGUCAGAGACUGUGGAUAAGGAAUCUGAGGUUUGGAAGGCGGGUUACUUGCCCAGGAUCACACAACUACUAAAUGGUAGAGCUGAGAUAUAAACCCAGGGUUUCAUGGGCUGAUUCCCAGCUUUGUGCCUGGCUGGUUUUCAAAACUACCACCCACAUUCUGAUACCCUUGUCAGCCAUGGAGCACCAUAACUCCACCAACUUUCAUGGACAAGAUCCAAUCUUAGCUCCUCCCAAACUUUUCCCACUCACUCUGAUCCUUUCUUCCAAUUCUUGGAAACCCUCAUCAAAUACAUCACAGAAGCCUGGCUUUUCUCACUAAAUACUCUUCUCACUAAGGACCCACAGCAGCUGCUGUCAGCAAUCAAGAAAAAACAAAGAAUGUGUU